rnacentral:rRNA from 1 species
UUGCUGGGGGAUGAGCGGCGAACGGGUGAGUAACACGUGAGUAACCUGCCCUUGACUCUGGGAUAAGCCUGGGAAACCGGGUCUAAUACUGGAUAUGACCUUCUGGCGCAUGCCAUGUUGGUGGAAAGCUUUAUUGCGGUUUUGGAUGGACUCGCGGCCUAUCAGCUUGUUGGUGGGGUAAUGGCCUACCAAGGCGACGACGGGUAGCCGGCCUGAGAGGGUGGACGGCCACACUGGGACUGAGACACGGCCCAGACUCCUACGGGAGGCAGCAGUGGGGAAUAUUGCACAAUGGGCGCAAGCCUGAUGCAGCGACGCCGCGUGGGGGAUGAAGGCCUUCGGGUUGUAAACCUCUUUCAGUAGGGAAGAAGCGAAAGUGACGGUACCUGCAGAAGAAGCGCCGGCUAACUACGUGCCAGCAGCCGCGGUAAUACGUAGGGCGCAAGCGUUAUCCGGAAUUAUUGGGCGUAAAGAGCUCGUAGGCGGUUUGUCGCGUCUGCCGUGAAAGUCCGGGGCUUAACUCCGGAUCUGCGGUGGGUACGGGCAGACUAGAGUGAUGUAGGGGAGACUGGAAUUCCUGGUGUAGCGGUGAAAUGCGCAGAUAUCAGGAGGAACACCGAUGGCGAAGGCAGGUCUCUGGGCAUUAACUGACGCUGAGGAGCGAAAGCAUGGGGAGCGAACAGGAUUAGAUACCCUGGUUAGUCCAUGCCGGUAAAAC